UACAGAGGUCUCAAGCGUUGUUCGGAUUCAUUGGGCGUAAAGGGUGCGUAGGUGGCGCGGUAAGUCGGGUGUGAAAUUUUGGAGCUUAACUCCGAAACUGCAUUCGAUACUGCCGUGCUUGAGGACUGGAGAGGAGACUGGAAUUUACGGUGUAGCAGUGAAAUGCGUAGAGAUCGUAAGGAAGACCAGUGGCGAAGGCGGGUCUCUGGACAGUUCCUGACACUGAGGCACGAAGGCCAGGGGAGCAAACGGG
rnacentral:rRNA from 1 species